rnacentral:rRNA from 1 species
UGAGUAACACGUAUGCAAUCCACCUGUAACAGGGGGAUAACCCGGAGAAAUCCGGACUAAUACCCCAUAAUAUGGGCGCUCCGCAUGGAGAGCCCAUUAAAGAGAGCAAUUUUGGUUACAGACGAGCAUGCGCUCCAUUAGCCAGUUGGCGGGGUAACGGCCCACCAAGCCGACGAUGUCUAGGGGUUCUGAGAGGAAGGUCCCCCACACUGGAACUGAGACACGGUCCAG